rnacentral:lncRNA from 1 species
AGGACUUAAAGAAAGAGCAGUUUCUGACGCUGAAAAGCCAGCGGCCAGGUGUUUCCUGGCAGCAAGGGCAAAGGCAGGAAGACAGAGGGAAAAGCGAACAGCCCCACACCCGACGGUCCCGGAACAAACCUGAGCCUCCUCAGUUUCACCAAGACCUGUGCACUUCAGCGAUUCCAUCCAUCCGAAGCUUUGGAUAAAGGACAGGAAGGAAGGGCAGCCACAGGGCCUUUGCAUCCGCCAGGGCUGCAGAUCUCCCAAGCAACCUGCGGGGCCUCACCAACCAUGGCCCCAGCUAUAGCCCAAUCCAGGGCCACGGCCGUCAUGCCCAUCACCUGGGUCCUCGCGGUGACCAUGCUCACCUGCUCUUCUCCUUGGCCUCCGAGGCUGAGUCCUUUAUGGUAACAGGUACUGAGAGCUGACAGCCUUGUGUGAGGGUUGGGGGAAAGGUGGAUUCUCAGCCCAACCCCUGCCCCCUUACUGAACUUUCUCAUCAUGGGAAUGAGACAAGGUGACUAAGACCUCAUAUCACUUGAGAGCUGCUUGGCCGAGCUCAGCCCUGGAUUCUGAUAUCUCUUCACUGGUAAGGCCAGUGGGAAAGGGGACGGGCUCACCCCAAGGCUUAGGGCCUGUUGAUAUUAAAGGGGGUUAGCAAAGUCAGGCCUGACUCAGACCAGAUCCCCAGUUUGGGAGAGUCUCUUUGGGCCCAGUGGAGGGCAGUGUGGGGACAGCAGGCACACAAGUCAUGGGAAGUACUCACAUUUGGGUAAGAGCCACAUGGUGGCUCCAGGUAAAGUGUCAAGGGAAAUGGAUUCAUCCAGGGGGCUAAAAUGAGAGGGUGUGGGUCCAAUUCCAGGAAGAGAGCUGGGAAGGCCUUGAAGACUCAACUAAAUGGCUGGAGUACAGGGCUGCUUUCUCACCGAAACUGCCUCGGGUCGCAGCAGGCAGAUGAUGCUCCCAAGGAGGCCCUGAGAGUGUGGUCAGUUACAUGACUCUGCCUUAUGGUUGACUGCCUUUGGAUCCUGUGCUGUUCAUUUCUAGACCAGAAGGAGUUCAGAUCUUACAAAUCCAGAGGGCACCAUCAGAUCACCAUGAGACUGCUGAUGCAACCAUCUCAGGUCCCUCAUUGCAUUUGGCGAUUCUCCUAUUCAGAGCCUUUGUUUAACAUAUUGUGAUUGGGCUGGAGCCAGCGGGAUCUGAACAAAUUCCCCUUCUAAAUAUUGACUCUGUGACAUUUGAGCCCCUGCCAGCUGGGAUGGCGCCAAGGCUGUUAAUAGCUGUGAAGAGGGAGAGUGAUAAGAAGUUCUAGGGGAUUAUAAACCAGAAUGAAUUUCUCACUAAAGGACCCACUAUUUUAAAAUAUUAUUUAUUUAUUCAUUCAGGCAUCCAUUCACUCAUUUACUCUUGGGUUUCACAGCACUCCCUGUGCCAGACUGUGCCAGGUGACAGGGACAAGGAGUCAUCUAUGCACAGAUCCUGCUCUCAAGGCGCUCUCAAUCAAUCUCAGGGGACAGAGGCACAAACCCUGUGGAGAAAAGUGAG